GCCGAUGUAGCUCAGUUGGUAGAGCACGUGAUUUGUAAUCUCGUUGUCAUAGGUUCGAUUCCUAUCAUCGGCU
rnacentral:tRNA from 1 species